CUCACAGGUCUUUGGGACGGCCCUACUUUCCCCAUCUCAGAUGCCAAAUGGGAAGAAUGUCUGCACCACAAAGGCUGCAGAGAGAGCAUCUACAAAGCACCUACCCUGAAGACUUCUGGAGAUGAAUUCCUUCCUGAAGUACCCAUGAUGUGCUCAGAUGGUGGACAAGGACGUGGCAGGCUACUUCAAUGAGCAGGUUUCAUUUGUGAAGAUUUUGUUGGAAAAGCAGAGAAGAGAAGAAAAAAUGCCAGCAUUGGUGGAAGUGGAUAUGUUUUACCAAACUGGGGAGGAACACUCAUGGGAAGGAAAACUUAACCCAGCUUGUCUAACAAAAGAAACCACCUUGCUGCUUACAGUUUGCCAUGCCCUGCACCUCUGGAUCAUCAUAGCUGGAAUACAUCUAAUAAAGAUAUCAAC